GGAGGGGCUGGGGCUCAGUGGGGAGAGCAUUUGCUUUGCUUGCAGAAGGCCCCAGGUCCGAUCCCAGCUUCUCCA
rnacentral:tRNA from 1 species